UGCCCAAGAUCUAGAGACACAAAACAGCUGCAGGGCGGCUUCUCAUGUAUGCUGGGCAGUCGGGUUGGGCUGUGUCCUUCCUCUGAGAUGAGGCCUAUGAACAAAUCCUUGAAGAUGAGAAGAGUCAGGAACCAUGAGCAUGCACCAUGGGGGCAGUGAGGAGAUGGAUCACAGUCUCGGUGAGGAUGGGCACAGCCUACUUC
rnacentral:lncRNA from 1 species